rnacentral:rRNA from 1 species
GAUGAACGCUGGCGGCGUGCCUAAUACAUGCAAGUCGAGCGAACAGACGCGGAGCUUGCGCCUCGGACGUUAGCGGCGGACGGGUGAAUAACACGUGUAUACCCUCCCUGUAAGACUGGGAUCACUUCGGGAAACCGGCGCUAAUCCCGGAUAAUAUCUUGCACCGCAGGGGUCGAUGGAAAAAGUCGGUUUUGCGGUCACUUAUAGCUGCAUCCGCGCCGCAUUAGCUGGUUGGUCCGGUAACGGCCUACCACGGCAAGGAUGCGUAACCGAGCUGCGGGGGGGAUAGGCCACCUGGGAACGUAGACACGGUCCAGACGCCUACGGGAGGCAGCAGUAGGGAAUCUGCCGCAAUGGGCGAAAGCCUGACGGAGUAACGCCGCGUGAGUGAUGAAGGUCUUCGGAUCGUAAAACUCGGUUAUUAGUGAAGAACAAAUGUGGAAUGAACUAUGGACGUAGUGACGGUACCGAAUAAGAAAGCCCCGGCUAACUACGUG